rnacentral:misc_RNA from 1 species
UGUUUGUGAUUGCUUUCCCCUGGUGGCGGGCGCGGGGGUGGUGGUGGUGGAGGAGAUGGCGUUGGUGGAGAAUUUUCUUUUCUUGGGAAUUCAUAAUCAUUUUCAUCCGCUUUCUCUACCUUUUCUUUACGUGGAACGGAACAGUUUUACAAGUUCGCCUUUGUUUGUGAUUGCUUUCCCCUGGUGGCGGUGGAGGAUCAACAGGAAUUUCCUUAACAUUAGAUUCUUCAAAUACACUUCGCUGCCUGCCAUGAUA